CGGCCGCGGUACCCUAACCGCGCGAAGGUAGCAUAAUCACUUGUUCUUUAAAUGGGGACUCGUAUCAACGGCAUCACGAGGGUCACACUGUCUCCUUUCUCCAAUCAAUGAAACUGAUCUCUCCGUGAAGAAGCGGAGAUUUAAUUAUAAGACGAGAAGACCCCAUGGAGCUUUAAACCUACUACACCCCCACUUACUACACCCAAUCAAUCGACGAGGCCCUGUAUAAUAGGUUUUAGGUUGGGGUGACCGCGGAGCAUAAUAAAACCUCCACGAUGAACGGGACUACCCCCUUAUCUAAGAGUAACAUCUCUAAGAAUUAGCACACUAACAUUAAAUGAUCCGACACUCGAUCAACGAACCAAGUUACCCUGGGGAUAACAGCGCAAUCCACUUCAAGAGCCCCUAUCGACAAGUGGGUUUACGACCUCGAUGUUGGAUCAGGGUAUCCUAGUGGUGCAGCAGCUACUAAAGGUUCGUUUGUUCAACGAUUAAAACCCU
rnacentral:rRNA from 1 species